rnacentral:rRNA from 2 species
GGAAAGAUGAAAAGAACUUUGAAAAGAGAGUUAAACAGUACGUGAAAUUGUUGAAAGGGAAACGAUUGAAGUCAGUCAUACCAACGGGAAAUCAACCUUUUGAGCUUUGUCUCGUGGGUUCGAAGAGUUUUAAACGCCUUCGGGUUCGCGAGAUUGGGAUCUUCUGGUGUACUUUCUCGUACGGUUAGUCAACAUCGGUUUUGAAUGUCAUAAAAUGACUGGAGGAAUGUAGCUUCGAUCUCGUAUCGAAGUGUUAUAGCCUUUGGUAGAUGUGAUGUUUGAGACCGAGGAUUGCAACGGAUACCCUUCAUGGGCUAUUCGUCUGAUCUCUGAUACGUUGCCUUGACGUUGAAAGCUUGCUUACGAUGUUAGGGUAUUACGGUCAAAAGGUUAGAACGGAUUAAAUUCGUUAAGGAUGUUGACGUAAUGACUUUAAACGACCCGUCUUGAAACACGGACCA